rnacentral:rRNA from 1 species
AGCAGCCGCGGUAAUUCCAGCUCCAAUAGCGUAUAUUAAAGUUGUUGCAGUUAAAAAGCUCGUAGUUGAAUUUCGGGAUCGACGGGUCGGUCGCGCCUCUGGUGUGUACUGGCCCUGUCGGUUUCUCCCUUCUGAAGAACCGCGAUGUCAUUAAUUUGGUGUCGUGGGGAAUCAGGACUGUUACUUUGAAAAAAUUAGAGUGUUUAAAGCAGGCAUUCGCUUGAAUACAUUAGCAUGGAAUAAUGAAAUAGGACGUUUGAUCUUAUUUUGUGGUUUCUAAGAUCGACGUAAUGAUUAAUAGGGAUAGUUGGGGGCAUUAGUAUUCAAUUGUCAGAGGUGAAAUUCUUGGAUUUAUUGAAGACUAACUACUGCGAAAGCAUUUGCCAAGGAUGUUUUCAUUAAUCAAGAACGAAAGUUAGGGGAUCGAAGACGAUCAGAUACCGUCGUAGUCUUAACCAUAAACUAUGCCGACUAGGGAUCGGAUGGAUGUUAAUUUUUAAUGUAACUCAUUCGGCGCCUU